ACGGAAGGCAGCAGUGGGGAAUAUUGCACAAUGGGGGAAACCCUGAUGCAGCAACGCCGCGUGAAGGAUGAAGGCCCUUGGGUUGUAAACUUCUGUUCUAAGGGAAGAUAAUGACGGUACCUUAGGAGCAAGUCCCGGCUAACUACGUGCCAGCAGCCGCGGUAAUACGUAGGGGGCAAGCGUUAUCCGGAAUUAUUGGGCGUAAAGAGUGCGUAGGUGGUUUCCUAAGCAUGGGGUUUAAGGCAAUGGCUUAACCAUUGUUCGCCCCAUGAACUGGGUUACUUGAGUGCUGGAGAGGAAAGCGGAAUUCCUAGUGUAGCGGUGAAAUGCGUAGAUAUUAGGAGGAACACCAGUGGCGAAGGCGGCUUUCUGGACAGUUACUGACACUGAGGCACGAAAGUGUGGGGAGCAAACAGGAUUAGAUACCCUGGUA
rnacentral:rRNA from 1 species